rnacentral:tRNA from 1 species
GAGGGUACAGCUCAGUGAUAGCGCACAUGCUUGGCAUGCAUGAGGUCCUGGGUUCAAUCCCCAGUGCCUCUG